CCGUCACGGAGGUAAAGGUGGGUAGAAAACACAAAACGACCAAUGGAGCAUAAUUUACAACAAAUCCUUUUAUCGAUAAAUAAAACCUUUACCAUUUACUUACCUCGGUAAAAUUCAUAAAACAAUAUACGAAAGCAAUAACAUCAUUAUCAUCAUGGAAACAUAUAUAUGAACUGUAUAACAUAAUACCUAUCACACUUUUCGU
rnacentral:lncRNA from 1 species